rnacentral:rRNA from 1 species
GUCGAACCGUCCAAACGUUAUUCGGAAUUACUGGGCUUAAAGGGUGCGUAGGCGGCGCGGAAAGUUGGGUGUGAAAUCCCUCGGCUUAACCGAGGAACUGCGCCCAAAACUACCGUGCUCGAGGGAGAUAGAGGUGAGCGGAACUUAGGGUGGAGCGGUGAAAUGCGUUGAUAUCCUAAGGAACACCGGUGGCGAAGGCGAGUCUAUGGGCCGAUACUGACGCUGAGGAGCGAAAGCGUGGGGAGCGAACAGG